rnacentral:misc_RNA from 1 species
UAAGUGAGAAGGGGGUGCAACUCGGAUAGUAAAAACCAAGGCAUUAUUCGUUCUAAUAAGUUCGAGAAACCAUUCUGCCUUACUGUGCUAUAAGCAAUAAUGUCAGAUACACCUAUCAUAGCCCCUCCCCCACAUAAAAUACAUAGCGACACAUAUGUUCAUGUAUUAAUUUAGAAAGAACUCCUUGCCACUACCUAUCGUUUUUAAAGCAGCCGUACAUAGUAAAACUCUAUCCUUUUGUAGUUAUAAGAACCACACUACGUGACCCACCUCACCUAACAUAUUCCAUGCCUGUUAAGAGUGUCCAACUAUUUGAUUUUUAGUUAAUUUUAAUUGACAUACU